ACGUAGGGUCCAAGCGUUAAUCGGAAUUACUGGGCGUAAAGCGUGCGCAGGUGGCUUGUUAAGAUCGAUGUGAAAUCCCCGGGCUCAACCUGGGAACUGCAUUGAUGACUGGCUCGCUAGAGUACGGCAGAGGGGGGUGGAAUUCCACGUGUAGCAGUGAAAUGCGUAGAGAUGUGGAGGAACACCGAUGGCGAAGGCAACCCCCUGGGCUGAUACUGACACUCAUGCACGAAAGCGUGGGGAGCAAACAGG
rnacentral:rRNA from 1 species